AUGCGAACUGACAGAUCAAAGCAUGGCUGCAGCCGAGCUGGGACGCAGAAAGGGAGCCUGCGCUUGCUCUGGGCUGCGGACAGCCCGAGGCAGAGACAGUGUGUAAAUUGGAGACAGGAAAACACUAUCCCGGCUGGAACAAUGGAGGGUGGAGACGGCAGCCUCUAUCCACCCCCUUCCCAGAACCCGGGCAUCCUGUCCCCAGUGAGCAGGGCUGUCUCUUGCCACCCAUGGGGACCUUGCGCCUCUCACCUCAGGCUGGCUGGCUUCCCAUCUGACCCCUAGCUGGAGGACAUCAUUUGGUCCCCAGGAAGAGGCUGCCUCACCCACCCUCUUUCCCUUCUCUCCUGCAGCUCCCAUGGGGUGGGAGCCAGGUGUUCUGGCUCCCCUCUCCACCCUUCCCAGCGCCCAAUGCCCCCCACAUUGCCGGCCCCCGAGGGGAUUCCUGUACCCUCCCUCCUCCACUCUCCACUGCCAGGGGCUGUGCAGUUUUUCCUAAUCCCCCCCUUCCUCCAGUGCCUGUCCCCUCCCCCGAUGAUCCGAGCCAAGCCAGGUGUGUUCACCCCUCCCAUUCAUACCGCCCCCCAGAAUCUCCUCCCCUCUGCCUUCCCGUAACCAAAUCCAGAUGUGAGGCCUCGGCGGGAGCCUGGGAACCCUAGCAUCCCGACCUCCAGUGCUUCCUGAUCAGGGCACUCGUGGGGAGGGAGGUACUGGGAUGGGGGCCAGGGCUAUGCCCCAGGCACGGAGCGCUCCCUUCAAGGAGGGAUGGACGGGGUGUUUGGUCUGAAAGCAGGGAGGGGUCUUGGACAGGGAAUGAAAUUGUGGGGUAGAGAGGCUGAUUCUGGGACUUAGGGGAGGAAACGUGGAGGCUGAGACAAGAGGUUCCCCUCCCACACCAGCAGCCUCUGCUCGUGGGGGUCAGGACCAGGGCGCAGCUCUCAUUUUAACCCUUUCUGAGCUGCCGCCCCUUCUCCCCGUCCAUUUUGAUCUCCCUCCCUCCUCCAGGGAGGCCUAGAUCUGGGGUAUCCCAAGGGAGCCCCAUGCCUACCAGAUGUUGGGGGGGGGUUGGCACUUAGCAGAAGAGGCCAGAAAUCAGGCGGGUGCAGAGGGCAGGGCUUGCUCCCCUCUUGGCCCCCCAACUCCUCUAGCUCAGAGCUAAGAGGAUCCACCUGCCUCGGUUCCCAGGGAUCUGGUCUUCCUGACCUCCCUCCCCCACCCCAGGCACUGACUCUGUCUCUCUGUCUGUCUCAGAGACCCUGCUGAACACAAAAUUGGAAACUGCGGAUCUGAAGUGGGUGACAUUCCCUCAGGUGGACGGGCAGUGGGAGGAACUGAGCGGCCUGGAUGAGGAACAGCACAGCGUGCGCACCUACGAAGUGUGUGACGUGCAGCGUGCCCCGGGCCAGGCCCACUGGCUUCGCACAGGUUGGGUCCCACGGCGGGGCGCCGUCCACGUGUACGCCACGCUGCGCUUCACCAUGCUCGAGUGCCUGUCCCUGCCUCGGGCUGGGCGCUCCUGCAAGGAGACCUUCACCGUCUUCUACUAUGAGAGCGAUGCGGACACGGCCACAGCCCUCACGCCAGCCUGGAUGGAGAACCCCUACAUCAAGGUGGACACGGUGGCCGCGGAGCAUCUCACCCGGAAGCGCCCUGGGGCCGAGGCCACCGGGAAGGUGAAUGUCAAGACGCUGCGUCUGGGACCGCUCAGCAAGGCUGGCUUCUACCUGGCCUUCCAGGACCAGGGUGCCUGCAUGGCCCUGCUAUCCCUGCACCUCUUCUACAAAAAGUGCGCCCAGCUGACUGUGAACCUGACUCGCUUCCCGGAGACUGUGCCUCGGGAGCUGGUUGUGCCCGUGGCCGGUAGCUGCGUGGUGGAUGCCGUCCCCGCCCCUGGCCCCAGCCCCAGCCUCUACUGCCGUGAGGAUGGCCAGUGGGCCGAACAGCCGGUCACGGGCUGCAGCUGUGCUCCGGGGUUCGAGGCAGCUGAGGGGAACACCAAGUGCCGAGCCUGUGCCCAGGGCACCUUCAAGCCCCUGUCAGGAGAAGGGUCCUGCCAGCCAUGCCCAGCCAAUAGCCACUCUAACACCAUUGGAUCAGCCGUCUGCCAGUGCCGCGUCGGGUACUUCCGGGCCCGCACAGACCCCCGGGGUGCACCCUGCACCACCCCUCCUUCGGCUCCGCGGAGCGUGGUUUCCCGCCUGAACGGCUCCUCCCUGCACCUGGAAUGGAGUGCCCCCCUGGAGUCUGGUGGCCGAGAGGACCUCACCUACGCCCUCCGCUGCCGGGAGUGCCGACCCGGAGGCUCCUGUGCGCCCUGCGGGGGAGACCUGACUUUUGACCCCGGCCCCCGGGACCUGGUGGAGCCCUGGGUGGUGGUUCGAGGGCUACGUCCUGACUUCACCUAUACCUUUGAGGUCACUGCAUUGAACGGGGUAUCCUCCUUAGCCACGGGGCCCGUCCCAUUUGAGCCUGUCAAUGUCACCACUGACCGAGAGGUACCUCCUGCAGUGUCCGACAUCCGGGUGACGCGGUCCUCACCCAGCAGCUUGAGCCUGGCCUGGGCUGUUCCCCGGGCACCCAGUGGGGCUGUGCUGGACUACGAGGUCAAAUACCAUGAGAAGGGCGCCGAGGGUCCCAGCAGCGUGCGGUUCCUGAAGACGUCAGAAAACCGGGCAGAGCUGCGGGGGCUGAAGCGGGGAGCCAGCUACCUGGUGCAGGUACGGGCGCGCUCUGAGGCCGGCUACGGGCCCUUCGGCCAGGAACAUCACAGCCAGACCCAACUGGAUGAGAGCGAGGGCUGGCGGGAGCAGCUGGCCCUGAUUGCGGGCACGGCAGUCGUGGGUGUGGUCCUGGUCCUGGUGGUCAUUGUGGUCGCGGUUCUCUGCCUCAGGAAGCAGAGCAAUGGGAGAGAAGCAGAAUAUUCGGACAAACACGGACAGUAUCUCAUCGGGCAUGGUACUAAGGUCUACAUCGACCCCUUCACUUAUGAAGACCCUAAUGAGGCUGUGAGGGAAUUUGCAAAAGAGAUCGAUGUCUCCUACGUCAAGAUUGAAGAGGUGAUUGGUGCAGGUGAGUUUGGCGAGGUGUGCCGGGGGCGGCUCAAGGCCCCAGGGAAGAAGGAGAGCUGUGUGGCAAUCAAGACCCUGAAGGGUGGCUACACGGAGCGGCAGCGGCGUGAGUUUCUGAGCGAGGCCUCCAUCAUGGGCCAGUUCGAGCACCCCAAUAUCAUCCGCCUGGAGGGCGUGGUCACCAACAGCAUGCCCGUCAUGAUUCUCACAGAGUUCAUGGAGAACGGCGCCCUGGACUCCUUCCUGCGGCUAAACGACGGACAGUUCACAGUCAUCCAGCUCGUGGGCAUGCUGCGGGGCAUCGCCUCGGGCAUGCGGUACCUUGCCGAGAUGAGCUACGUCCACCGAGACCUGGCUGCUCGCAACAUCCUAGUCAACAGCAACCUCGUCUGCAAAGUGUCUGACUUUGGCCUUUCCCGAUUCCUGGAGGAGAACUCUUCCGAUCCCACCUACACGAGCUCCCUGGGAGGAAAGAUUCCCAUCCGAUGGACUGCCCCGGAGGCCAUUGCCUUCCGGAAGUUCACUUCCGCCAGUGAUGCCUGGAGUUACGGGAUUGUGAUGUGGGAGGUGAUGUCAUUUGGGGAGAGGCCGUACUGGGACAUGAGCAAUCAGGACGUGAUCAAUGCCAUUGAACAGGACUACCGGCUGCCCCCGCCCCCAGACUGUCCCACCUCCCUCCACCAGCUCAUGCUGGACUGUUGGCAGAAAGACCGGAAUGCCCGGCCCCGCUUCCCCCAGGUGGUCAGCGCCCUGGACAAGAUGAUCCGGAACCCCGCCAGCCUCAAAAUCGUGGCCCGGGAGAAUGGCGGGGCCUCACACCCUCUCCUGGACCAGCGGCAGCCUCACUACUCAGCUUUUGGCUCUGUGGGCGAGUGGCUUCGGGCCAUCAAAAUGGGAAGAUACGAAGAAAGUUUCGCAGCCGCUGGCUUUGGCUCCUUCGAGCUGGUCAGCCAGAUCUCUGCCGAGGACCUGCUCCGAAUCGGAGUCACUCUGGCGGGACACCAGAAGAAAAUCUUGGCCAGUGUCCAGCACAUGAAGUCCCAGGCCAAGCCGGGAACCCCGGGUGGGACAGGAGGACCGGCCCCACAGUACUGACCUGCAGGAACUCCCCACCCCAGGGACACCGCCUCCCCAUUUUCCAGGGCAGAGUGGGGACUCACAGAGGCCCCCAGCCCUGUGCCCCGCUGGAUUGCACUUUGAGCCCGUGGGGUGAGGAGCUGGCAAUUUGGAGAGACAGGAUUUGGGGGUUCUGCCAUAAUAGGAGGGGAAAAUCACCCCCCAGCCACCUCGGGGAACUCCAGACCAAGGGUGAGGGCGCCUUUCCCUCAGGACUGGGUGUGACCAGAGGAAAAGGAAGUGCCCAUCAUCUUCCGGCCUCCCCAGGUGCCCCCCCUCACCUUGAUGGGUGCGUUCCCGCAGACCAAAGAGAGUGUGACUCCCUUGCCAGCUCCAGAGUGGGGGGGCUGUCCCAGGGGGCAAGAAGGGGUGUCAGGGCCCAGUGACAAAAUCAUUGGGGUUUGUAGUCCCAACUUGCUGCUGUCACCACCAAACUCAAUCAUUUUUUCCCUUGUAAAUGCCCCUCCCCCAGCUGCUGCCUUCAUAUUGAAGGUUUUUGAGUUUUGUUUUUGGUCUUAAUUUUUCUCCCCGUUCCCUUUUUGUUUUUUCGUUUUGUUUUUCUACCGUCCUUGUCAUAACUUUGUGUUGGAGGGAACCUGUUUCACUAUGGCCUCCUUUGCCCAAGUUGAAACAGGGGCCCAUGAUCGUGUCUGUUUCCAGAACAGUGCCUUGGUCAUCCCACAUCCCCGGACCCCGCCUGGGACCCCCAAGCUGUGUCCUAUGAAGGGGUGUGGGGUGAGGUAGUGAAAAGGGCGGUAGUUGGUGGUGGAACCCAGAAACGGACACCGGUGCUUGGAGGGGUUCUUAAAUUAUAUUUAAAAAAGUAACUUUUUGUAUAAAUAAAAGAAAAUGGGACGUGUCCCAGCUCCAGG
rnacentral:sRNA from 1 species